rnacentral:rRNA from 1 species
GACAGAGGGGGCGAGCGUUAUCCGGAGUCAUUGGGCGUAAAGGGUACGUAGGCGGCUAGUCAAGUCUGAGGUUAAAGACCACAGCUUAACUGUGGGAAGGCCUUGGAAACUGACUGGCUAGAGUGGGGCAGGGGUUGCGGGAAUUCCCGGUGUAGCGGUGAAAUGCGUAGAUAUCGGGAAGAACACCUGAGGCGAAAGCGCGCAACUGGGCCUCAACUGACGCUGAGGUACGAAAGCUAGGGGAGCGAAUGGG